CCUACGGGAGGCAGCAGUGAGGAAUAUUGGUCAAUGGGCGCGAGCCUGAACCAGCCAAGUCGCGUGAGGGAUGACUGCCCUACGGGUUGUAAACUUCUUUUAUAAGGGAGUAAAGUGAGGCACGUGUGCCUUUUUGUAUGUACUUUAUGAAUAAGGAUAGGCUAACUCCGUGCCAGCAGCCGCGGUAAUACGGAGGAUGCGAGCGUUAUCCGGAUUUAUUGGGUUUAAAGGGAGCGUAGAUGGGUUGUUAAGUCAGUUGUGAAAGUUUGCGGCUCAACCGUAAAAUUGCAAUUGAUACUGGCAGUCUUGAGUACAGUUGAGGUAGGCGGAAUGUAUGGUGUAGCGGUGAAAUGCUUAGAGAUCAGACAGAACACCGAUUGCGAAGGCAGCUUACCGGGCUACUUCUGACGUUGAGGCACGAAAGCGUGGGGAGCAAACAGGAUUAGAUACCCUUGUAGUC
rnacentral:rRNA from 1 species